rnacentral:rRNA from 1 species
UACGGAGGGUGCAAGCGUUAAUCGGAAUUACUGGGCGUAAAGCGCACGCAGGCGGUCUGUCAAGUCGGAUGUGAAAUCCCCGGGCUCAACCUGGGAACUGCAUCCGAAACUGGCAGGCUAGAGUCUUGUAGAGGGGGGUAGAAUUCCAGGUGUAGCGGUGAAAUGCGUAGAGAUCUGGCGGAAUACCGGUGGCGAAGGCGGCCCCCUGGCCAAAGACUGACGCUCAGGUGCGAAAGCGUGGGGAGCAAACAGGAUUAGAUACCCUGGUAGUCCACGCCGUAAACGAUGUCGACUUGGAGGUUGUGGCCUUGAGGCGUGGCUGCCGGAGCGAACGCGUUAAGUCGACCGCCUGGGGAGUACGGCCGCAAGGUUAAA